ACCUAAACCAAACAAAACCUUAACACCACUUCUUCUCUCGAUCAAUCAAUCAGCGAUUAUUCACCUUUAAUCGACCAUGGAUCUUUCCUUAAUCGUCGAUCCCAAUUAACAUGGCUUCGAACGGCGCUUCUCCGAGGAUUGUUGAUGCUACUGAUAACAGCUUGGAUAAGAUCAAGCAGCAAUUGGAAUCGAGGGUUAUCGGAACUUGCUUCUGGGACCUCUUAUUCAAGCGAGCUGAAACUGAAUUAACAUAGAAUCCGACUAAUUGAAAGUUAGAAACUCCUCAACUUAGCAUAAGCAGAUCAAAAAAUGAAGAGAAGGUAAGAGUACAGUUAGUGAUUUUGGGCGGCAUAAAGGACUUUAUGAUGAUUAUUUUGAAGUAUCUAACCCUUGCUGUAUAUUGAAUAGGAAGCUUCUACCAUCAGAAGACAUCAGGACAAAAAUCUGAAACCAAGGAGAAUCAAAUCUACAUCCGCAUCUAUGCAAGAAGGUGGAGGCAUUAUUGGAGUUGUAGGUGUUCUGCUAAAAAGACUCUGGCUUGUAUUAGUCAUGGCGCUUAAUCCAUAUGGAGUUAACAAUGGGUUAGGUCUGGUGUAAGGAGAGCAAGGUACCAGAAUUUUUCCACGAAGUGAACCUGUUUUAAAACUCAUCAAGAUUUAGAGAUAAAGAUGAAGAUGUAUUAGCAUCUGCAGAGUUCUCAAUGGGGCUAACUUGUGGGUCUGGAAGGAAAGAGAGCAAUGAAAUAUUCUUGCUAUUCACAAUCAAUAGCACAUAAGGAAGAUGGACUAUUUAAAUAAG